rnacentral:rRNA from 1 species
UCCGAAGGGGGCUAGCGUUGCUCGGAAUUACUGGGCGUAACGGGCGCGUAGGCGGGUCGUUUAGUUAGAGGUGAAAGCCCAGGGCUCAACCCUGGAAUUGCCUUUAAUACUGGCGGCCUUGAGUAUGGCAGAGGUGUGUGGAACUCCGAGUGUAGAGGUGAAAUUCGUAGAUAUUCGGAAGAACCCCAGUGGCGAAGGCGACACACUGGGCCAUUACUGACGCUGAGGCGCGAAAGCGUGGGGAGCAAACAGG